GGGUUUAGGGUUCAGGGUUUAGGGUUUAGGGUUUAGGGUUUAGGGUUUAGGGUUUACGGUUAAGGGACUAGGUCAUAUCUAGUCCUUUUUGUUUCUGAAUCAAUGUAGUUCGUCGAAUAAGUGCAUAAGUGUUACUAGAUUUUGAUUUUAGGUCAUUUUUUUUGUUGUUGUUAUGUUUCUUUCUGUCAAUUUUUGUUGUUGUCCAUUUUAGUUGUUAAUCAAUGUAGUUCAACCUAUUAGUGCAAAAUUGUCACUUAAUUUAGAAUUUUGGACGUUUUGGUAUUUGAUAUGUUUGUUUUUUUCCAUUUUAGUUGUUAUUUAUUUUAGGAUUUGGGAUUUAGGGUUUAAGAUUAAGGGUUAAGGGUCUAGGGUCUAGAUCUAUUCUCGUUCAUUUUGGUUUUAACCAAUGUAUUUCAUGAUAAAAUUAAAAGCAUAAUUCUCAAUGAAUAAAGAUUUUAGCUAAUUUUGUUGUUUAUAAGGUGGAAUCUAGUCCAUUUUGUUUCUAAAAUAGUGUAGUUCGUCUAAUAAGUGCAAAAUAUUCAAUAUAUUAUAAUUUUAGGUCAUUGUGGAAUUUGUUAUGUUUGUUGUUGUUGUACAUUUUAGUUUUUAAUCAAUGUAGUUCAUCCUAUUAGUGCUAAAUUGUCACUUGAUUUAGAUUUUAGGUUUUAGGAUUUAGGUGUUCGGUGUUUGGUUUUAGGACUUUUGUUUCAGGUUUUAGGUUUUAGGUUUUAGGUUUUAGGUUUUAGGGUUUAGUGUUUAGGGUUCAGGGUUUAGGGUUUAGGGUUUAGGGUUAAGGGUUUAGGGUUUAGGGUUUAAGGUUUAGGGUUAAGGGUUUAGGGUUUAGGGUUUAGGGUUAAGGGUCUAGGUCAUAUCUAGUCCAUUUUUUUCUGAAUCAAUGUAGUUCGUCGAAUAAGUGCAUAACUGUUACUAGAUUUUGAUUUUAGGUGAUUUUUUUUGUUGUUGUUAUGUUUCUUUCUGUCAAUUUUUUUUGUUGUCCAUUUUAUUUGUUAAUCAAUGUAGUUUAACCUAUUAGUGCAAAAGUGUCACUUGAUUUAGAUUUUAGGACGUUUUGGUUUUUUAUAUGUUUCUUUUUUUUCCGUUUUAGUUAUUAUUCAUUUUAGGGUUUGGGAUUUAGGGUUUAAGAUUAAGGGUUAAGGGUCUAGCGUCUACUUCUAUUCUAGUUCAUUUUGGUUCUUAAUAAGUGUAGUUCGUCGAAUAAGUGCAUAAGUCUCAUUGGAUUAAGAUUUUACGUUAUUUUGGUUUUUGAUAUGGUUCUUUUUGUCCAUUUUAGUUCUUAUUUAUUGUAGUUCGUCCAAUAAGUUGAAAAGUCAAAAUGCAUUAAUAUUUUAGGUCAUUUUCGUCUUUCUUAGGUUAAGGGAUUAGAGUCUAGGUUUUAGGAUUUAGGUCUUCAGUGUUCGGUUUUAGGAAUUUGGUUUUUGGUUUUUGAUUUUUGAUUUUUGGUUUUAGGGUUUAGGGUUUAGGGUAUAGGGUUUAGGGUCUAGGGUUUAGGGUUCAGGGUUCAGGGUUUAGGGUUAAGGGUUUAGGGUUUAGGGUUUAGGGUUUAGGGUUUAGGGUUUAGGGGUUAGGGUUUAGGGUUUAGGGUUUAGGGGUUAGAUAAGUGCAUAAGUGUUACUAGAUUUUGAUUUUAGGUCAUUAUUUUUGUUGUGGUUAUGUUUCUUUCUGUCAAUUUUUGUUGUUGUCCAUUUUAGUUGUUAAUCAAUGUAGUUCAACCUAUUAGUGCAAAAGUGUCACUUGAUUUAGAUUUUAGGACGUUUUGGUUUUUUAUAUGUUUCUUUUUUUUUUUUCUUUCUGUUUUAGUUAUUAUUCAUUUUAGGGUUUGGGAUUUAGGGUUUAAGAUUAAGGGUUAAGGGUCUAGGGUCUAGGUCUAUUCUAGUUCAUUUUGGUUCUUAAUAAAUGUAGUUCUUUGAAUAAGUGGAUAAGUCUCAUUGGAUUUAGAUUUUAGGUUAUUUUGGUUUUUUAUAUGUUUCUUAUUUAUUUAAGUUCGUCCAAUAAGUUGAAAAGUGUCAAUGCAUUAAUAUUCUAGGUUAAGGGAUUAGGGUUUAGUGUUUAUGGUUUAAGGUUUAGGGUUAACGAUUAAGGAUAUAGGUCUAUUAUAGACCAUUUUUCUUCUUAAUCAAUGUAGUUUGUCGAAUUAGUGCAUUAAUCUAACUGGUUUUAGAUCUUGGUUAUUUUGGUUUUUGAUAUAUUUCUUUUGGUACAAUUUCUUUCUUAUUCAUUGUAGUUCGUCCAAUAAGUACAAAAGUCAAAAUGCAUUAAUAUUUUAGGUCAUUUUGGCAUUAUUUAGGUUUAGGGAUUAGAGUCUAGGUUUUAGGAUUUAGGACUUCAGUGUUUGGUUUUAGGAUUUUGGUUUUUGGUUUUUGGUUUUAGGGUUUAGGGUUUAGCGUAUAGGGUAUAAGGUUUAGGUUUUAGGGUUUAGGGUUCAGGGUUCAGGGUUUAGGGUUUAGGGUUUAGGGUUUAUAGUUUAGGGUUUAGGGUUAAGGGUCUAGGUCAUAUCUAGUCCAUUUUGUUUCUGAAUCAAUGUAGUUCGUCGAAUAAGAAUAUAAGUUUUACUAGAUUUUGAUUUUAGGUCAUUUUUGUUGUUGUUGUUAUGUUUCUUUCUGUCAAUUUUUUUUGUUGUUGUCUAUUUGAGUUGUUAAUCAAUGUAGUUCAACCUAUUAGUUCAAAAGUGUCACUUGAUUUAGAUUUUAGGACGUUUUGGUUUUUUAUAUGUUUCUUUUUUUUUCGUUUUAGUUAUUAUUCAUUUUAGGGUUUGGGAUUUAGGGUUUAAGAAUAAGGGUUAAGGGUCUAGGGUCUUGGGUUUAGGGGUUAGGCUUUAGGGUUCAGGGUUUAGGGUUUAGGGUCUAUUAUAGACCAUUUUUCUUCUUAAUCAAUGUAUUUUGUCGAAUUAGUGCAUCAAUCUAACUGGUUUUAGAUUUUGGUUAUUUUGGUUUUUGAUAUGUUUCUUUUGGUACAAUUUAUUUCUUAUUCAUCGUAGUUCGUCCAAUAAGUACAAAAGUCAAAAUGCGUCAAUAUUUUAGGUCAUUUUGGCCUUUUUUAGGUUUAGGGACUAGAGUCUAGGUUUUAGGAUUUAGGUCUUCAGUGUUUGGUAUUUGGUUUUUGGUUUUUGGUUUUUGGUUUUUAGUUUUUGGUUUUAGGUUUUAGGUUUUAGGGUUUAGGGUUUAGGGUUUAGGGUUUAGGGUUUAGGGUUUAGGGUUUAGGGUUUAGGGUUUAGGGUUUAGGGUUUAGGGUUUAGGGUUUAGGGUUUAGGGUAUAGGGUUUAGGGUCUAGGGUUUAGGGUUCAGGGUUUAGGGUUUAGGGUUUAGGGUUUACGGUUAAGGGUCUAGGUCAUAUCUAGUCCAUUUUGUUUCUGAAUCAAUGUAGUUCGUCGAAUAAGUGCAUAAGUGUUACUAGAUUUUGAUUUUAGGUCAUUUUUUUUGUUGUUGUUAUGUUUCUUUCUGUCAAUUUUUGUUGUUGUCCAUUUUAGUUGGACCUAUUAGUGCAAAAUUGUCACUUGAUUUAGAUUUUUUGACGUUUUGGUUUUUGAUAUGUUUCUUUUUUUACAUUUUAGUUAUUAUUCAUAUUAGGGUUUGGGAUUUAGGGUUUAAGAUUAAGGGUUAAGGGUCUAGAUCUAUUCUCGUUCAUUUUGGUUUUAACCAAUGUAUUUCAUGAUAAAAUUAAAAGCAUAAUUCUCAAUGAAUAUAGAUUUUAGGUAAUUUUGUUGUUUAUAAGGUGGAAUCUAGUCCAUUUUGUUUCUAAAAUAGUGUAGUUCGUCUAAUAAGUGCAAAAGAUUCAAUAUAUUAUAAUUUUAAGUCAUUGUGGAAUUUGUUAUGUUUUUUGUUGUUGUCCAUUUUAGUUGUUAAUCAAUGUAGUUCAUCCUAUUAGUGCAAAAUUGUCACUUGAUUUAGAUUUUAGGUUUUAGGAUUUAGGUGUUCGGUGUUUGGUUUUAGGAUUUUUGUUUCAGGUUUUAGGUUUUAGGUUUUAGGUUUUAGGUUUUAGGUUUUAGGUUUUAGGGUUUAGUGUUUAGGUUCUUAAUCAAUGUAGUUCAUGUAAUAAAAACAAAAUUCUCAAUGGAUAUAGAUUUUAGCUCAUUUUGUUAUUUACUAGGUGUAUUCUAGGUCUUUUCAUUGUAGUUCGUCUAAUAAGAAUAUAAGUUAAAAUGCAUUAAUAUUUUAGGUCAUUUUGGUCUUUACUAGGUUUAAGAAUUAGGAUUUAGGUUUUAGGUUUUUAAGUUUUAGGUUUUAGUGUUAAGGGUCUAGGUCAUAUGUAGUCAAUUUUGUUUCUGAAUCAAUGUAGUUCGUCGAAUAAGUGCAUAAGUGUUACUAGAUUUUGAUUUUAGGUCAUUUUUUUUGUUGUUGUUAUGUUUCUUUCUGUCAAUUUUUGUUGUUGUCCAUUUUAGUUGUUAAUCAAUGUAGUUNNNNNNNNNNNNNNNNNNNNNNNNNNNNNNNNNNNNNNNNNNNNNNNNNNNNNNNNNNNNNNNNNNNNNNNNNNNNNNNNNNNNNNNNNNNNNNNNNNNNNNNNNNNNNNNNNNNNNNNNNNNNNNNNNNNNNNNNNNNNNNNNNNNNNNNNNNNNNNNNNNNNNNNNNNNNNNNNNNNNNNNNNNNNNNNNNNNNNNNNNNNNNNNNNNNNNNNNNNNNNNNNNNNNNNNNNNNNNNNNNNNNNNNNNNNNNNNNNNNNNNNNNNNNNNNNNNNNNNNNNNNNNNNNNNNNNNNNNNNNNNNNNNNNNNNNNNNNNNNNNNNNNNNNNNNNNNNNNNNNNNNNNNNNNNNNNNNNNNNNNNNNNNNNNNNNNNNNNNNNNNNNNNNNNNNNNNNNNNNNNNNNNNNNNNNNNNNNNNNNNNNNNNNNNNNNUAGGUUAAGGGAUUAGGGUUUAGUGUUUAUGGUUUAAGGUUUAGGGUUAACGAUUAAGGAUCUAGGUCUAUUAUAGACCAUUUUUCUUCUUAAUCAAUGUAAUUUGUCGAAUUAGUGCAUCAAUCUAACUGGUUUUAGAUGUUUGUUAUUUUGGUUUUUGAUAUGUUUCUUUUGGUACAAUUUCUUUCUUAUUCAUUGUAGUUCGUCCAAUAAGUACAAAAGUCAAAAUGCAUUAAUAUUUUAGGUCAUUUUGGCAUUUUUUAGGUUUAGGGAUUAGAGUCUAGGUUUUAGGAUUUAGGUCUUCAGUGUUUGGUUUUAGGAUUUUGGUUUUUGGUUUUUGGUUUUAGGGUUUAGGGUUUAGGGUAUAGGGUAUAGGGUUUAGGGUUUAGUGUCUAGGGUCUAGGGUCUAAGGUCUAGGGUCUAGGGUCUAGGGUCUAGGGUCUAGGGUUCAAGGUUUAGGGUUUAGGGUUUAGGGUUUAAGGUUUAGGGUUUAGGGUUUAGGGUUUAGGGUUUAGGGUCUAGGUCAUAUCUAGUCCAUUUUGUUUCUGAAUCAAUGUAGUUCGUCGAAUAAGUGCAUAAGUUUUACUAUAUUUUGAUUUUAGGUCAUUUUUGUUAUUGUUGUUAUGUUUCUUUCUGUCAAUUUUUUUUGUUGUUGUCCAUUUUAGUUGUUAAUCAAUGUAGUUCAACCUAUUAGUGCAAAAGUGUCACUUGAUUUAGAUUUUAGGACGUUUUGGUUUUUUAUAUGUUUCUUUUUUUUCCGUUUUAGUUAUUAUUCCUUUUAGGGUUUGGGAUUUAGGGUUUAAGAUUACGGGUUAAGGGUCUAGGGUCUAGGGACUAGGUCUAUUCUAGUUCAUUUUGGUUCUUAAUAAAUGUAGUUCGUCGAAUAAGUGCAUAAGUCUCAUUGGAUUAAGAUUUUAGGUUAUUUUGGUUUUUGAUAUGUUUCUAGGUCAUAUCUAGUCCAUUUUGUUUCUGAAUCAAUGUAGUUCGUCGAAUAAGUGCAUAAGUCUCAUUGGAUUAAGAUUUUAGGUUAUUUUGGUUUUUGAUAUGUUUCUAGGUCAUAUCUAGUCCAUUUUGUUUCUGAAUCAAUGUAGUUCGUCGAAUAAGUGCAUAAGUCUCAUUGGAUUAAGAUUUUAGGUUAUUUUGGUUUUUGAUAUGUUUCUAGGUCAUAUCUAGUCCAUUUUGUUUCUGAAUCAAUGUAGUUCGUCGAAUAAGUGCAUAAGUCUCAUUGGAUUAAGAUUUUAGGUUAUUUUGGUUUUUGAUAUGUUUCUAGGUCAUAUCUAGUCCAUUUUGUUUCUGAAUCAAUGUAGUUCGUCGAAUAAGUGCAUAAGUCUCAUUGGAUUAAGAUUUUAGGUUAUUUUGGUUUUUGAUAUGUUUCUAGGUCAUAUCUAGUCCAUUUUGUUUCUGAAUCAAUGUAGUUCGUCGAAUAAGUGCAUAAGUCUCAUUGGAUUAAGAUUUUAGGUUAUUUUGGUUUUUGAUAUGUUUCUAGGUCAUAUCUAGUCCAUUUUGUUUCUGAAUCAAUGUAGUUCGUCGAAUAAGUGCAUAAGUCUCAUUGGAUUAAGAUUUUAGGUUAUUUUGGUUUUUGAUAUGUUUCUAGGUCAUAUCUAGUCCAUUUUGUUUCUGAAUCAAUGUAGUUCGUCGAAUAAGUGCAUAAGUCUCAUUGGAUUAAGAUUUUAGGUUAUUUUGGUUUUUGAUAUGUUUCUAGGUCAUAUCUAGUCCAUUUUGUUUCUGAAUCAAUGUAGUUCGUCGAAUAAGUGCAUAAGUCUCAUUGGAUUAAGAUUUUAGGUUAUUUUGGUUUUUGAUAUGUUUCUAGGUCAUAUCUAGUCCAUUUUGUUUCUGAAUCAAUGUAGUUCGUCGAAUAAGUGCAUAAGUCUCAUUGGAUUAAGAUUUUAGGUUAUUUUGGUUUUUGAUAUGUUUCUAGGUCAUAUCUAGUCCAUUUUGUUUCUGAAUCAAUGUAGUUCGUCGAAUAAGUGCAUAAGUCUCAUUGGAUUAAGAUUUUAGGUUAUUUUGGUUUUUGAUAUGUUUCUAGGUCAUAUCUAGUCCAUUUUGUUUCUGAAUCAAUGUAGUUCGUCGAAUAAGUGCAUAAGUCUCAUUGGAUUAAGAUUUUAGGUUAUUUUGGUUUUUGAUAUGUUUCUAGGUCAUAUCUAGUCCAUUUUGUUUCUGAAUCAAUGUAGUUCGUCGAAUAAGUGCAUAAGUCUCAUUGGAUUAAGAUUUUAGGUUAUUUUGGUUUUUGAUAUGUUUCUAGGUCAUAUCUAGUCCAUUUUGUUUCUGAAUCAAUGUAGUUCGUCGAAUAAGUGCAUAAGUCUCAUUGGAUUAAGAUUUUAGGUUAUUUUGGUUUUUGAUAUGUUUCUAGGUCAUAUCUAGUCCAUUUUGUUUCUGAAUCAAUGUAGUUCGUCGAAUAAGUGCAUAAGUCUCAUUGGAUUAAGAUUUUAGGUUAUUUUGGUUUUUGAUAUGUUUCUAGGUCAUAUCUAGUCCAUUUUGUUUCUGAAUCAAUGUAGUUCGUCGAAUAAGUGCAUAAGUCUCAUUGGAUUAAGAUUUUAGGUUAUUUUGGUUUUUGAUAUGUUUCUAGGUCAUAUCUAGUCCAUUUUGUUUCUGAAUCAAUGUAGUUCGUCGAAUAAGUGCAUAAGUCUCAUUGGAUUAAGAUUUUAGGUUAUUUUGGUUUUUGAUAUGUUUCUAGGUCAUAUCUAGUCCAUUUUGUUUCUGAAUCAAUGUAGUUCGUCGAAUAAGUGCAUAAGUCUCAUUGGAUUAAGAUUUUAGGUUAUUUUGGUUUUUGAUAUGUUUCUAGGUCAUAUCUAGUCCAUUUUGUUUCUGAAUCAAUGUAGUUCGUCGAAUAAGUGCAUAAGUCUCAUUGGAUUAAGAUUUUAGGUUAUUUUGGUUUUUGAUAUGUUUCUAGGUCAUAUCUAGUCCAUUUUGUUUCUGAAUCAAUGUAGUUCGUCGAAUAAGUGCAUAAGUCUCAUUGGAUUAAGAUUUUAGGUUAUUUUGGUUUUUGAUAUGUUUCUAGGUCAUAUCUAGUCCAUUUUGUUUCUGAAUCAAUGUAGUUCGUCGAAUAAGUGCAUAAGUCUCAUUGGAUUAAGAUUUUAGGUUAUUUUGGUUUUUGAUAUGUUUCUAGGUCAUAUCUAGUCCAUUUUGUUUCUGAAUCAAUGUAGUUCGUCGAAUAAGUGCAUAAGUCUCAUUGGAUUAAGAUUUUAGGUUAUUUUGGUUUUUGAUAUGUUUCUAGGUCAUAUCUAGUCCAUUUUGUUUCUGAAUCAAUGUAGUUCGUCGAAUAAGUGCAUAAGUGUUACUAGAUUUUGAUUUUAGGUCAUUUUUUUUGUUGUUGCUAUAUUUCUUUCUGUCAAUUUUUGUUGUUGUUGUCCAUUUUAGUUGUUAAUCAAUGUAGUUUAACCUAUUAGUGCAAAAGUGUCACUUGAUUUAGAUUUUAGGACGUUUUGGUUUUUUAUAUGUUUCUUUUUUUUCCGUUUUAGUUAUUAUUCAUUUUAGGGUUUGGGAUUUAGGGUUUAAAAUUAAGGGUUAAGAGUCUAGCGUCUAGAGUUCGUCGAAUAAGUGCAUAAGUCUCAUUGGAUUAAGAUUUUAGGUUAUUUUGGUUUUUGAUAUGUUUCUUUUUGUCCAUUUUAGUUCUUAUUUAUUGUAGUUCGUCCAAUAAGUUGAAAAGUCAAAAUGCAUUAAUAUUUUAGGUCAUUUUCGUCUUUCAUAGGUUAAGGGAUUAGAGUCUAGGUUUUAGGAUUUAGGACUUCAGUGUUUGGUUUUAGGAUUUUGGUUUUUAAUUUUUGAUUUUUGGUUUUAGGGUUUAGGGUUUAGUGUAUAGGGUUUAGAGUUUACGGUUUAGGGUUCAGGGUUAAGGGUUUAGGGUUAAGGGUUUAGGGUUUAGGGUUUAGGGUUUAGGGUUUAGGG
rnacentral:lncRNA from 1 species